AGUCUUGUAGUAAAGUUUACGCGGGGUUGCAAACCCUGAAACGGAGUGGAAUUCUCCCGGGGCUU
rnacentral:tRNA from 1 species